GUCUCACUGAGUUGCUUAGUGCCUUUCUUUUGCUGAGGCUGGCUUUGAACUCAUGAUCCUCCUUCCUCAGGCUCCCGAGCUGCUGGGAUUACAGAUGUGGGCCACCUCGCCUGCACUUCUUGAUUUUAAUGUAGAUUCUUCCACUAGUUAUCAUAUUACCAAACCCUGAGCCAUUGUGGCACUCAGAGGUGCCUGGUGGCUUAGCUUUGUUUUUUGAGCAUGCCCUCUGUUGGCCAGGACUAUUUCAGGCCCAGAUAAUAGGUUUGCAUUUUAGUAACGGAAAUGAGGAAGAUGGAGAGAUGCCUUCUAUUUUAGAGAGCACCUGUCAGAAAGGAGUCAUAUGCUGAUUAUACUUUUUAUCAAGAAAGGAAGCAAAAGUUGGAGGGCAACUAGCAGUGUAUAGAAUAUAGGAUUUUUAUGAGUAUGUACCCAGUGGAAUGAUGAACUCAUAAUAAGUGCUUAGUUAGUGGUAAUUUAUGUUUUAGAGCAAGUCCUGAGCUGGAAUUGUGGCUCAGUGAUAGAGCACUUGCCUGGCAUGUGUGAGGCCCUGGGUUUGAUCCUCAGCACCACAUAUAAAUAAAUAAAUAAUCUGUUGACAGCUAAAAUUAAAAAAAUAUAUAUUUUAUUUAUUUAUUUAUUUAUUUAUUUUGCAAGUCCUUUGAGUAUCUGCUCUUUGCUUUAAGGAAAACUGGUGAGAAAUUUGCUUGCUUAUUUAUUUAUUUAUUUAUUUACCACUAAGAAUUGAACCCUGGAGGAACUUAAUAACUGAGCCAUAUCCCCAGUCCCAACCUUCAUUUUUUAAUUUUUAUUUUCGAGACAGGAUCUUGCUAAGUUGCUCAGGGCCUUAUUAAAUUAUUGAAGCUGGAUUUGAACUUGCCAUCCUCCUGCCUCAGCCUCUGAAGCCACUGGGAUUUUAGGCGUGUGCUAUCACACCUGGCUCAAAUAUAUCUGUUUAGAUAAACU
rnacentral:lncRNA from 1 species